rnacentral:rRNA from 1 species
CAGUCGCCGCGGUAAUGCGAAGGGGACUAGCGUUGUUCGGAUUUACUGGGCGUAAAGGGCGCGUAGGCGGACUGAUAAGUCAGGGGUGAAAUCCCAAGGCUCAACCUUGGAACUGCCUUUGAUACUGUUUGUCUUGAGUUCGAGAGAGGUAAGUGGAACUGCGAGUGUAGAGGUGAAAUUCGUAGAUAUUCGCAAGAACACCAGUGGCGAAGGCGGCUUACUGGCUCGAAACUGACGCUGAGGCGCGAAAGCGUGGGGAGCAAACAGGAUUAGAUACCCCAGUAGUCCCUGUCUCUUAUAA